rnacentral:rRNA from 1 species
UACAGAGGAUGCAAGCGUUAUCCGGAAUGAUUGGGCGUAAAGCGUCUGUAGGUGGCUUUUUAAGUCCGCCGUCAAAUCCCAGGGCUCAACUCUGGAUAGGCGGUGGAAACUACCAAGCUGGAGUACGGUAGGGGCAGAGGGAAUUCCCGGUGUAGCGGUGAAAUGCGCAGAUAUCGGGAGGAACACCGGUGGCGAAGGCGGUUCUCUGGGCCUUACCUGACGCUGAGGAGCGAAAGCGUGGGGAGCGAACAGG